AAAUUGAAGAGUUUGAUCAUGGCUCAGAUUGAACGCUGGCGGCAGGCCUAACACAUGCAAGUCGAGCGGUAGCACAGAGAGCUUGCUCUCGGGUGACGAGCGGCGGACGGGUGAGUAAUGUCUGGGAAACUGCCUGAUGGAGGGGGAUAACUACUGGAAACGGUAGCUAAUACCGCAUAACGUCGCAAGACCAAAGUGGGGGACCUUCGGGCCUCAUGCCAUCAGAUGUGCCCAGAUGGGAUUAGCUAGUAGGUGGGGUAACGGCUCACCUAGGCGACGAUCCCUAGCUGGUCUGAGAGGAUGACCAGCCACACUGGAACUGAGACACGGUCCAGACUCCUACGGGAGGCAGCAGUGGGGAAUAUUGCACAAUGGGCGCAAGCCUGAUGCAGCCAUGCCGCGUGUGUGAAGAAGGCCUUCGGGUUGUAAAGCACUUUCAGCGGGGAGGAAGGCGGUGAGGUUAAUAACCUCAUCGAUUGACGUUACCCGCAGAAGAAGCACCGGCUAACUCCGUGCCAGCAGCCGCGGUAAUACGGAGGGUGCAAGCGUUAAUCGGAAUUACUGGGCGUAAAGCGCACGCAGGCGGUCUGUCAAGUCGGAUGUGAAAUCCCGGCUUAACACGGAACUGCAUUCGAAACUGGCAGGCUAGAGUCUUGUAGAGGGGUAGAAUUCCGUGUAGCGGUGAAAUGCGUAGAGAUCUGGAGGAAUACCGGUGGCGAAGGCGGCCCUCGACAAAGACUGACGCUCAGGUGCGAAAGCGUGGGGAGCAAACAGGAUUAGAUACCCUGGUAGUCCACGCCGUAAACGAUGUCGAUUUGGAGGUUGUGCCCUUGAGGCGUGGCUUCCGGAGCUAACGCGUUAAAUCGACCGCCCGGGAGUACGGCCGCAAGGUUAAAACUCAAAUGAAUUGACGGGGGCCCGCACAAGCGGUGGAGCAUGUGGUUUAAUUCGAUGCAACGCGAAGAACCUUACCGUCUUGACAUCCACAGAACUUUCCAGAGAUGGAUUGGUGCCUUCGGGAACUGUGAGACAGGUGCUGCAUGGCUGUCGUCAGCUCGUGUUGUGAAAUGUUGGGUUAAGUCCCGCAACGAGCGCAACCCUUAUCCUUUGUUGCCAGCGGUCCGGCCGGGAACUCAAAGGAGACUGCCAGUGAUAAACUGGAGGAAGGUGGGGAUGACGUCAAGUCAUCAUGGCCCUUACGACCGUGGCUACACGUGCUACAAUGGCAUAUACAAAGAGAAGCGACCUCGCGAGAGCAAGCGGACCUCAUAAAGUAUGUCGUAGUCCGGAUUGAGUCUGCAACUCGACUCCAUGAAGUCGGAAUCGCUAGUAAUCGUAGAUCAGAAUGCUACGGUGAAUACGUUCCCGGGCCUUGUACACACCGCCCGUCACACCAUGGGAGUGGGUUGCAAAAGAAGUAGGUAGCUUAACCUUCGGGAGGGCGCUUACCACUUUGUGAUUCAUGACUGGGGUGAAGUCGUAACAAGGUAACCGUAGGGGAACCUGCGGUUGGAUCACCUCCUUACCUUAAAGAA
rnacentral:rRNA from 1 species